rnacentral:rRNA from 1 species
UACGAAGGGGGCUAGCGUUGCUCGGAAUCACUGGGCGUAAAGGGUGCGUAGGCGGGUCGUUAAGUCAGGGGUGAAAUCCUGGAGCUCAACUCCAGAACUGCCUUUGAUACUGAGGAUCUUGAGUUCGGGAGAGGUGAGUGGAACUGCGAGUGUAGAGGUGAAAUGCGUAGAUAUCGUCAGGAAUGCCGGUGGUGAAGACGGGUGACUGGGCUGGUUCUGACACUGAGGCACGAAAGCGUGGGGAGCGAACGGG